UACGUAGGUGGCAAGCGUUGUCCGGAUUUAUUGGGCGUAAAGCGCGCGCAGGCGGUCCUUUAAGUCUGAUGUGAAAUCUUGCGGCUCAACCGCAAGCGGUCAUUGGAAACUGGGGGACUUGAGUACAGAAGAGGAAAGCGGAAUUCCACGUGUAGCGGUGAAAUGCGUAGAGAUGUGGAGGAACACCAGUGGCGAAGGCGGAUUUCUGGUCUGUAACUGACGCUGAGGCGCGAAAGCGUGGGGAGCGAACCGG
rnacentral:rRNA from 1 species